UCCCAGCACUUUGGGAGGCUGAGGCAGGUGGAUCACCUGAAGUCAGGAGUUCAAGACCAGCUUGGCCAACAUGGUGAAACCCCGUCUCUACUAAAAAUACAGAAAUCAGCCGGCUGUGGUGGCAUGCACCUGUAAUCCCAGCUACUUGGGAGGCUGAGGCAGGAGAAUUGCUUGAGCCUGGGAGGCGGAGGUUGCAGUGAGCCGAGAUCGCACCACUGCACUCCAGCUUGGGUGACAGAGCAAGGCUCCGUCUCAAAAAAAAAAAAAAAGCAAAAUGUUUUCUGUUUUUCUUGUAAUUUCCUUCUUUAGCUGUGGGUCACUCAGAAAUGUGUUUCAUUUAUAAUUAUUUAAUACUUAGCCAUUUUUAGGUAUGUUUUAGUUGUUAAUUUUUAAUUUACAGCUGAUUGCUUGGGUCUGCUCCAUGUGCCCUGAGAAGAGCGCGUAUUCUGCUGCGGUCGGGGAAGCCUCCAGACAUUCGAGCGAGCUGGAGAUGCUGUCUUUGGAGCUGUCUGCAUUCCACUGACCUGUCUUCUUUCUCUGUUCAUUGCUGAGGGAAGAGUGUGAGGUGGCAGACGAAGCUCGUGCCUUCAUCUGUGUCUUCACUGCUCUCAGUUCCAGCUGCGUAUUUUGAAGCUUUUCAUCACGUGCAUGCAUAUUUAGGACUGUGUGUCUCCUUAACAGGCCGACCCUUUCUUCACUGAUGAACUGUCUCCACGUGUCCAUCUUCCUUGCCCUGGAGUCUCUGUUGCCUGCGAUGUUCACGGCCAUGCCAGCCGCCCCGGGGUCAGGGUUUGCGUGCUGUAUCUUUGACCAUUUCCGUAUUUGCAGUCUGUCUUUGUCUUUCAGGUGUGAUUCUUGCAGACACCAUACUUUAAAGUCUUUGAUUUUUAGCCAGUCCGACCAUCUCUGCUUUUCUUUGAACUGUGAUGGAAUGAACUUCUGCAGCCACAGGAAACUAAGAAGCCCAAACACGCCAGUUCCUGUCUGUGAAGGACAAAAGACCCACGCACUGAGUCACCAGGGGCCAUCAGGGAAGAGCCUGGGCUGGGGUCCUAGCACCAGAGCCCAGAAUCCCCGCUUCCAGUUCUCAGCUGCCCCAUGGUGUCUGCUCUCCUGCCCUCUCCACGCUCCAGGGCCCUCUUUUUGUAAAGAAGAAAUAUUUUCCUCAUGGAAUGACUCCCUCCUCCCACCCAAACAGGAUCAUAUUUCUGCUUUGAAACAGACACUUCUGCUGUGAGCAGCGGCAUCCUUAAAUAAACACAUCCUCCCUGUUGGGGU